rnacentral:lncRNA from 13 species
CUUACAUGUUCCAAGUUUCAUUCCUAAGUGAGUAGGAAAAAGAAAUCAAAGACACAAUUCUAUCCACAUAAAGCUUAAAGUUUUGUGGGGGAGGCAGACAAAUAAAACUGUAUAUGUAAUUUAUACGUGAUUCAAUAGAAGUCAGUCCAGGAUUUUUCAAAGUUCAGAAGAAUCAAAACAAAUGCAACAAAGGAUCAGGGAAAUAUUUUUGGAGAAAAAGAUCUGAAGCAAGUACUGGAAGAAAACUAGGAGUAAGAAACUACUUCUGAUACCUUCAUUCAAAUGAGUGCACUAUAGGAAGUUAAGGAACACAGCAGGAGGGUGUCUGCUAUGUCUAAGGAGACCUCUGCCACAAAAUAUCUAAGGAAACAAGUCUUGCCUUCCUUGAAGACCCUUAUGUACCUCAACGUGCAUGGCCAAUUUGCAAAGAGAAAACUGAAUAAUCAUCUGGACAACAUGACCUGUCUUUUGAACAUCAGUCAGCCUUUUUCUCCAGUCACCUUCAUGCCUGAUCAGUGGGAUUAUUUAUAAUUGGCCACAAAAGAAUAGAAGAAGGCUCUGCACAGGCUAAACAAUAUGGAACGUCAUACAACUCACUUUGCUGUCUUAAUUACUGAGUGUCUAACUUGGCAACAUCUAGAACAAUAUUGAAGGCCUAAUAUCACACCUUGGCCAGGUAGGAUUUUACCUUUUGGGAAGCGCAAUGAUUUGUCCUUGCUAGUUUAUAAAGAUACUCUAUUUAUGGAAUUGAUAUUCCUGUACAUAAUGUUUUCGUUAGCACCACUAUAUAUGCACUU